rnacentral:tRNA from 1 species
AGUCCCGUGGUGAAUUUCACAUUGAAUUGCAAAUUCAAAGGAGCAGCUU